CCUACGGGGGGCAGCAGUGGGGAAUAUUGCGCAAUGGGCGAAAGCCUGACGCAGCGACGCCGCGUGAGGGAUGAAGGUCUUCGGAUCGUAAACCUCUGUCAGCAGGGAAGAACGGUCACUGUGCUAAUCAGCAGUGAAUUGACGGUACCUGCAAAGGAAGCACCGGCUAAAUACGUGCCAGCAGCCGCGGUAAUACGUAUGGUGCAAGCGUUAUCCGGAUUUACUGGGUGUAAAGGGAGCGCAGGCGGCACGGCAAGCCUGAUGUGAAAGCCCGCGGCCCAACCGCGGGACUGCAUUGGGAACUA
rnacentral:rRNA from 1 species